rnacentral:rRNA from 1 species
ACGCUAGCUACAGGCUUAACACAUGCAAGUCGAGGGGCAGCAUUUUAGUUUGCUUGCAAACUGAAGAUGGCGACCGGCGCACGGGUGAGUAACACGUAUCCAACCUGCCGAUAACUCCGGAAUAGCCUUUCGAAAGAAAGAUUAAUACCGGAUAGCAUACGAAUAUCGCAUGAUAUUUUUAUUAAAGAAUUUCGGUUAUCGAUGGGGAUGCGUUCCAUUAGUUUGUUGGCGGGGUAACGGCCCACCAAGACUACGAUGGAUAGGGGUUCUGAGAGGAAGGUCCCCCACAUUGGAACUGAGACACGGUCCAAACUCCUACGGGAGGCAGCAGUGAGGAAUAUUGGUCAAUGGGCGAGAGCCUGAACCAGCCAAGUAGCGUGAAGGAUGAAGGCUCUAUGGGUCGUAAACUUCUUUUAUAUGGGAAUAAAGUUUUCCACGUGUGGAAUUUUGUAUGUACCAUAUGAAUAAGGAUCGGCUAACUCCGUGCCAGCAGCCGCGGUAAUACGGAGGAUCCGAGCGUUAUCCGGAUUUAUUGGGUUUAAAGGGAGCGUAGGUGGAUUGUUAAGUCAGUUGUGAAAGUUUGCGGCUCAACCGUAAAAUUGCAGUUGAAACUGGCAGUCUUGAGUACAGUAGAGGUGGGCGGAAUUCGUGGUGUAGCGGUGAAAUGCUUAGAUAUCACGAAGAACUCCGAUUGCGAAGGCAGCUCACUAGACUGUUACUGACACUGAUGCUCGAAAGUGUG